rnacentral:rRNA from 1 species
GCGAGUGAAGAGGGAAAAGCUCAAAGUUGGAACCUGGUAGGCAUAGCUUACCCGGAUUGUAAACUAAAGUUUUCGAGUCGUUUAGUCAGCCAGGUAAAUAAGUCCUCUGGAAAGGGGCGACAUAGAGGGUGAAAUCCCCGUCUUUGGCCUGAGUUUUGAUUAGGCGUUUGGCUUGGAAACGAAGAGUCAGGUUGUUUGGGAAUGCAGCCUAAAAUGGGAGGUAAAUCUCUCCUAAAGCUAAAUAUUGACGAAAGACCGAUAGCGAACAAGUACCGUGAGGGAAAGAUGAAAAGCACUUUGAAAAGAGGGUCAAAAAGUACGUGAAAUUGCUGAAAGGGAACCGUAUGAAAUCAGAUCUACUGGUAGGUAAUCAAUCUUUCCUUUGGGAAGGAUGCACUUGCCUACUAUGUAUGCCAGCGACAUUUUGGUUGGGAGGAAAAAAAUAAAGGAAAUGUAGCUUAGGUUUCGGCUUAGGUGUUAUAGUCCUUUAUAAAAUACUCUCGGCUGGAAUGAGGAACGCAGCAAACCGUAAGGCGAAGAUUUCAGGCGCUUAGAGGGAAUAAUUAGAGAAUUUCUGCUUCGGGUGGUGCUUUGAUUAUUACCUUUAACACGCUUGGAGUUCUUUUAAU